UAUGUAUCCUAGCCCUUACAUCAGGACUCAUCAAACCACUGGGGAAAACACAAACAGAUACAGGAACGUGUUAGACUAUUCACUGCUCAUCUCUCAACACACUUUUGAAGAGGACCUGAGAUGAUACAGUGUAUUCACAUCAAGGACUCGUCCAGGUAUCACAGCGUUCCCGCCAUACAACUCAGGG
rnacentral:lncRNA from 1 species